CCUCAAAAUGAACACAAUUAGAGGGAGAAUUGAUGGCAUAUCACCUAUAUGCAAGUGCUAGCCACUACUAUCUUGUGCAGCCUUUUUUGCUCCAUCUGCGACCCUUGACUUCUUUAGAAUGCUCCUCUCAUCGCAUAUGAUAUUCCUACUGAUUGUAGAUCUCUGAAAAUGAAGAUCUACCAAUAGAUAACCCUUCACACCCUGUGGAUACCCGAUGUAGAUUAGCUUUUGUGACUUCA
rnacentral:lncRNA from 1 species